rnacentral:ncRNA from 1 species
GAUUGGUAAGAUUACGGUUUUACCAACAUGACUUGAACGAAGUUCAAGAGAGUUUGAUUCUUUCAGUCUUUGAGCUGUAAACACAUGAACAAUG